rnacentral:rRNA from 1 species
AUUGAACGCUGGCGGCAUGCCUUACACAUGCAAGUCGAACGGCAGCAUGGGUGCUUGCACCUGAUGGCGAGUGGCGAACGGGUGAGUAAUACAUCGGAACGUACCCGGAAGUGGGGGAUAACGUAGCGAAAGUUACGCUAAUACCGCAUAUUCUGUGAGCAGGAAAGAGGGGGAUCGCAAGACCUCUCGCUUUCGGAGCGGCCGAUGUCAGAUUAGCUAGUUGGUGGGGUAAAGGCCUACCAAGGCGACGAUCUGUAGCGGGUCUGAGAGGAUGAUCCGCCACACUGGGACUGAGACACGGCCCAGACUCCUACGGGAGGCAGCAGUGGGGAAUUUUGGACAAUGGGCGCAAGCCUGAUCCAGCCAUGCCGCGUGAGUGAAGAAGG